UACGUAGGGUGCGAGCGUUAAUCGGAAUGACUGGGCGUAAAGGGUGCGCAGGCGGUUUUACAAGUCUGAUGUGAAAGCCCCGGGCUUAACCUGGGAAUGGCAUUGGAAACUGUGGAACUAGAGUGUGGUAGAGGAAGGUGGAAUUCCUGGUGUAGCGGUGAAAUGCGUAGAUAUCAGGAGGAACACCGAUGGCGAAGGCAGCCUUCUGGGCCACAACUGACGCUCAUGCACGAAAGCGUGGGGAGCAAACAGG
rnacentral:rRNA from 1 species